rnacentral:rRNA from 1 species
GAGGAAGGUGGGGAUGACGUCAAGUCAUCAUGCCCCUUAUACGGUGGGCUACACACGUGCUACAAUGGGCGGUACAGAGACCCCCGAACCUGUGAGGGGAAGCUAAUCUCAGAAAACCGUUCUUAGUUCGGAUUGUACUCUGCAACUCGAGUACAUGAAGUUGGAAUCGCUAGUAAUCGCAAAUCAGCUAUGUUGCGGUGAAUACGUUCUCGGGUCUUGUACACACCGCCCGUCA